rnacentral:lncRNA from 1 species
GGCUGCCUGCGCCGGACUGGAGAGCGCGGAGGGCCGACCUGACCCGCCGAAAGGGCCUGAGGCGAGGGGAGCCCGGGUCCCGGGGCCUUGGGGAAGGACCCGCAGCCGCACGCCGGCCCCAAGUGCAAAGCAUUGACACGACCCCGAGCGGAGAGGGGGCGCCCUCCUUCUCCCGCGCCCAGAGGCCCGGCCGCUCUGGCCCGAGCCCCAGCCUGGCCUCCGACCCAGCUCCGGGUCGUGGCGCCGCCUGGGGGUCCCUGCGCCCCGGAAAGAGACAGCAGGCACUGGAAAGCGAGGCCGGUGGGCGGGCGAGUCGGGAGGCUCGGGCGGCCGAGGUCCGGGAGCGGAUCCCAGGUGGCGGGAGCUGGUGAGUGGAGCCAUGGCCGAGCCCUGCUGGGGCCGGCGCGGGCGGGAGCGGGACGCGGCCUUGCGCUGGGGAAACGCGGGGACCCCCUACCCGCGCCCGCCUUCACCGGAAGACUCGGAAGGAACCUGGAGUUCUCCGCAGGCCCGGGCCCCGCCCUGAGCUUUCCAGCGGCCGGGAGGAGCGGAUCCUCGGGGCCAGGAAGGUGAGCGCACCUUUCGCUGAGCACAGGGCGGCACCGCGCGGGCGGACCCCGGAUUCUCCACCCGCGACCCAACGAAUUUUCGCCCUAUCCGGUACCGGAGACGAAAGUCUCCUUCUUCCGAAAUACCGGCUUCCUCUCUUCGCCCUGCCAACCACUUUUUUAGUUUCUUCUCAUCUCUCGGAAGCGCACGUCUCCUAAGUUAAGGAGUGCUGAGUAACGCGUGAGGGAGUUGGGGUGUCUGCGAGCACCUGUGAUUGAAGCCCCCUCUUCUGUGAUCAGUCUUCGUUUUCUGUCUUCCGGCAGCCUCAGUUUCCCCCCCAUGAAGUGAUGGUGUGUGUGUGUGUGUGUGUGUGUGUGUGUGUGUGUGUGUGUGUGUCGGGCCCCGUGUGGUGCCCUCUGUGCGCAGCGAGAGCUAUAACUCAAGGUGUGCACGGGGAGAGUGAAGCGACCACGCACCUGCUUCCAAUCGGGCUCGGGCGCGAACACUCAGGCUGAUUCCUGAAGGUCGUUUUCUGAAGGAAAAGACAGAGCAUGCACUAGCCACGGGUGACAUUCCCACCCGUACAACCGCGUGGUGGGCGCGUACAUCCAACAUUGACCCAUGCAGGCGCCCGCCCACUGCGCACACCGGUCGCAGGGCACUUCGUUGUUGAACGUUGGGAGCAGCGUUUGAAGGCCGGAUCUCUCCUGGCAGUGCGGAUUCGGGACCGGCGGAAGCAGUAUGGCCUCUGCGACCGUUAUCCCUACUUUUCGGGGCCGACCCCAGGGCCCUCACAACUCCUCAUCACCGCAUAUGUGAGCGCCGCCCCCACAGGGUUUUCUCCACGACCUCGUUCUUGGCUAGGUCGCACCUCUCUUAGUACCUCCUCUCUGGCCAGAACGAAUCUUUGACUCCGAGCUGCGCAGUCUACGCAGACGGGGCAGGAUCCACUGCAGUUUUCCACAGGCAAAUACCUGCUGGCUCCACCUUAGGCGAGAUGUGGCCUCUCGGGGAGGGACCCGUUGUGGACACGUUUGCGCAGCCGUUGCCACGCUGGCUCCCACCGGCCUCUUUCCAGAUCAUGAAGGUAUUUUUCCUUCAUCAAAUUGAGAGGAAGUCCGUAGUAAAGCUGCCCGUUGACCAGGUAGUGCCGAGAGAAUCGGUGCCCUGGCAGGAGGGACUGGCUUAUGCCACCCUGUGCAGGAUCGUCUUCUCAGCUUACAGAGCCUAGUGUGAUUCAACAACCCUCCAUCUCUGCCCCCAACAUGCCCAACUGAUCUGGUGGAGGGAACUGAAGAUGAAGGCCUCUCAGGCACCAUGGAUGGGAUGGGUGUGUGUGAAGGGGGCAGGGUCCCCAGGAGCUGCCCCAGGUCUGGCUGGACAGUUGCACGGGAAGUCCUGUUUGUGAACUCAACGUUUCCACGGCUUUUCCAUUAAACUUUACCCCAAAUCA